UUUCAGACCUGGUAAUUGAUGAUCUUUUCUGUGGUUUGGAUAGCAAGCAAAGGUUGCUUUUAGUAGGUCUUAAAUUGAAAUGGAGGCACGCCCUGCUUUAUCCAUUCCAAGGUCAGGUACAACGCAGCUGACUAACAUGGGGGUAUCUGGAGCAUUUACUUCAUCUUUGCCCGUGCUUCCAACCCCUUACGAGGAGUCGUAUCCCAAGUUGCCAGACUCCCAACAAGUGUCCAUUGAGAGAGAACUCAUGACAAGCCCUCUCACUCAUGCGAGCCACUUAACCUCCAACAGUGGAGUAAUGGGUCACAUAUUUUCCUCGUCCUCUGGAUUUUCAUCAGAUCUUCACUAUUCAUCUGUUUCACUUUCACAACAGAAGAUUCAGUCAAGAAACACUCCUUUUAUACCUCAGUCAUCAACGAAUGGGGUGUCUUUUUCAGUGCCGCAAUCUUCUUAUUCAACACUGCUUCAUUCUACAACAUCAAGUCAUUAUACCAAAGAAAACAGUGCUUCGUGGUGUACAGAUUCUGUUGAAGAUUUACUUGAUUUCUCUGUAAAUACUCCUGUUGAGAAUAGUCAAGUCGAAAGCAGUAGUUGUAGCGGUAUCGUGGCGUCUGACGAAUUUGGCAGGCGUAAUGAUUGGCAGGAUUGGGCUGACCAGCUAAUCACAGAUAACAAUGCUUUAAAUUCUAGUUGGGAUGAAUUUCUUGCAGACACCAAUGUAGCAGAAAUGGAACCAAAGAUGGCAUACCAGGUAGAAAAACCACCAAGCUUUCAAGCUCAACAUCCACAACUUCAUCAGCAGCAUUCUGCUCCGUCUGGAGAAAUUCAGACUGUUGCUACUCCUUCUUGUUCAACUAACAGUGCUACUGCCUCAGCUAAGCCACGCAUGCGUUGGACACCAGAACUUCACGAGGCCUUUGUGGAGGCUGUUAACCAACUUGGUGGCAGUGAAAGAGCAACUCCAAAGGGUGUCUUGAAGCUCAUGAAAGUUGAAAGCUUAACUAUCUAUCAUGUCAAAAGCCACUUGCAGAAGUAUAGGACAGCUAGAUAUAGACCAGAGUCAUCAGAAGGGUCCUCAGAAAAGAGAUUGACUCCCAUUGACGAAAUAUCAUCUCUUGACUUGAAAACGGGUAUUGAGAUCACUGAAGCUCUGCGAUUGCAAAUGGAAGUACAAAAGCGGCUGCAUGAACAGCUUGAGAUACAAAGAAACCUACAGCUGCGAAUAGAAGAACAAGGGAGGUACCUGCAAAUAAUGUUUGAAAAGCAAAAGUCAGGUAUGGACAAGCUAAAGGCUUCAUCGUCCACUUUGGGGAACCCCUCUGCCGUGUCUUCAGAUGCAAUUCAAGGUUCCCCUGAAAAAGGUGAACAGGAAGCGUCCAAAAUCGACGAUGGCAAAACUGAAAAUGAUUCAAGUGAUGCUAAAACUACGACAAGAGGAGGUUCUGAUGAGCUUGGCGAGCAGAAAGAGGCACCUCAAGGGAAAGUUCCAGAUAAUCACGAGCCAGAUGUUUGCGAGACUGGUUCGCAAUCCUCAAAGCGUCUGAAAACAAUAGAAUAAGCCAUAUCAUUCAUCAACUUGGCAUAUCAAACUGACAAUACAAAAUUAAUCUUGAGUAAGAUUUCAUUUAUUCGUGUGUAGAACAGGUGGGAUGGGAAAGCUCAGUUCAGCCAGGGACGUCGCGCAAUAGAGAUAGGCGAAAUUGCUUAAAGAGCUUAAGCGCCCCAUUGUGCUCUAGGUAGGUUGAUUGGGCAGUCGUUUACCUUGCAAUAAGUCUCGGACCGUGUUGGUCAGAUUACCUUCGGGGUGUCAGUGGCCCCGUAAAGUGGCCAUAUAUGUGGGGAUUUCAACCUCUUUCUCUAUAACCUUUUAAUAUAUUGUCAUGAUGAAUAGGAGCUCAAAGUGCCAUCUUACCUAAAAUAUGUGUGAUCAGCAACCAAACUUUAAGCUUAAAUUACACAGCUUAUGACAAGCAAAAUGGACAAAAUGACAAAGAUUGCAUGUCGUGUGCAAUUUUGGAUCGUGCCCAAGAUUUUAAUUAUUUCAACCGUCUCCUAGGUCCUCUUUAUACCUUAGGGCUCGUUUGGUUCAACGAUUCAAAUUGUUA